rnacentral:rRNA from 1 species
UACGAAGGGGGCUAGCGUUGUUCGGAAUUACUGGGCGUAAAGCGCACGUAGGCGGAUACUUAAGUUAGGGGUGAAAUCCCGGGGCUCAACCCCGGAACUGCCUUUAAUACUGGGUAUCUCGAGUUCGAGAGAGGUGAGUGGAAUUCCGAGUGUAGAGGUGAAAUUCGUAGAUAUUCGGAGGAACACCAGUGGCGAAGGCGGCUCACUGGCUCGAUCCUGACGCUGAGGUGCGAAAGCGUGGGGAGCAAACAGG